rnacentral:rRNA from 1 species
UACGUAGGGGGGCAAGCGUUGUCCGGAUUUAUUGGGCGUAAAGAGCGUGUAGGCGGCCAGGUAGGUCUGCUGUGAAAACUCGAGGCUUAACCUCGAGCUGUCGGCGGAAACCCUCUGGCUAGAGUCCGGAAGAGGAGAAUGGAAUUCCCGGUGUAGCGGUGAAAUGCGCAGAUAUCGGGAAGAACACCAGUGGCGAAGGCGGCUCACUGGUCCGGUACUGACGCUGAGGUGCGAAAGCGUGGGGAGCAAACAGG